rnacentral:misc_RNA from 1 species
UGGCCAUCGGAAGCCUAUCCACAACUGUUCUCUUCCUCUCCACCUUCUUCUACAUGGUAUUAGGAGAUGAUGCGGUUGGGAAUUCAGGGCAGUACCCUCUGGUCGUGAGCACCUGGCCCUUCAUAGAAGCUGUUAAAGCUGCAUGGCGGGCUGUUGAUGGUGGGCUUUCUGCCGUGGACGCUGUUGUGGAGGGAUGUUCGACUUGUGAGGAGCUCAGAUGUGAUGGUACAGUAGGACCUGGUGGAAGUCCAGAUGAGAAUGGAGAAACUACAAUUGAUGCCAUGGUCAUGAAUGGGGUUACAAUGGAGGUUGGGGCUGUUGCUGCAAUGAGAUAUGUGAAAGAUGGCAUCAGAGCUGCAAGAUUAGUGAUGCAGCAUACAGAGCACACUUUGCUUGUUGGGAAGCAAGCGUCAGUCUUUGCCAUUUCAAUGGGUCUCCCUGGACCUACAAAUCUUAGUUCAUCAGAUUCCUUGGAGAAAUGGACUAAAUGGAAAGCAAAUCACUGCCAACCAAACUUUCGGAAAAAUGUUGUGCCUGUUGAUAGCUGUGGCCCUUAUCAUCCAAAGGGCAUAAUGGAUGUCAAUGAGGGGGAAUGUUCCAAAACCAACCUGAUGGGAGUUGCUGAACCAAGAUCAUCUCAUAUUGGUCCUCACAACCAUGACACCAUAUCGAUGGCUGUUAUUGAUAAAAUGGGGCGUGUAGCUGUUGGUGCAUCAACUAAUGGAGCCACAUAUAAGAUCCCUGGCAGAGUGGGUGAUGGACCAAUUGCAGGAUCUUCAGCAUAUGCUGACAGUGAUGUUGGUGCUUGUGGUGCAACCGGGGAUGGUGACAUCAUGAUGCGCUUCCUUCCAUGCUAUCAGGUUGUGGAGAGUAUGAGAUUGGGCGUGGAGCCAAGAAUUGCUGCCAAGGAUGCAAUAUCUCGGAUUGCAAGAAAAUUUCCAGAUUUUGUGGGAGCUGUGUUUGCCGUGAAUAAGAGUGGCGUGCAUGCUGGUGCUUGUCAUGGAUGGACAUUUCAGUACUCGGUGAGGAGUCCAGAAAUGGAUGAUGUGGAGGUUUUCACUGUAUUCCCCUGAACCAAAAGUAGGAACUCAUUGCAAACUAAUUUAAUUCUUCUGGAGAUCCAAUACCAUAAAUUUUGUCCAAUGUCAUUGUCUCGGUGCUUCUUUUUCAGAAAUUAUUUUGAUAAUUUUGUGCGCAUGUAUGAUGUUUCCAUACUUUUGACAAUUGGGAGAAUGUUGUGCAAAGGUCGUUGGCAUAUAUAAGAAAUGAUUGUAAUGAGUU